GUCUUGAGGUCCGCACGCACAUCAUACUAUCACGCGGCACCACCCUUGUAGUUUGGCUGACGCACCCCAAGCCAACCUAUAUGCAUUCGAUGUGUGCACUAGGCCCAAGUGCCGAAUUUGUUUUUCCGGAUAUUUCGCCCUCAGUGAGCGAUGUGGAGUUUUGUGCAGUUCGGCCAGCAUGCUAUGCCCAGCCAAUAACAAUACCGCAUGACGCAUAACUCUACCGCAUGACGCAUAAACAUGCCUUCGUGCCCUGCACCAGGCAUCGGACGCUGUGUCACGCAGUGAGCCCGACCCUGCGCAACCAACAUUUUGUUGC
rnacentral:lncRNA from 1 species